UUUAUUAAAAAUAAUUAUUAAUAUUUAAUUUUUAUUAACGAAUAAACUAUAAUUACUUUUAAUUAAAACUGAAGGGGAAAAUAAUUAAUAUUAAAAAAGAAAAUAAAAUGUACCUUUAGCAUAAGGGAAAUUCAAAAAUAAAUAAAAUUUUAUACUUCUCGAAAUACUUUGAGCUAAAUGUUUAAAUAAAUUAAUGUUUCAAUAUUAAUAAAAUUAAUAUUUAGAAGUGAAAUUCCUUUCAAAAAGUAGGAUAUCUAGUUAAAUAAAAUAAUUAUAUGUAUUUCUAUAAAUAAUAUUUAUUUUUAAAAAUUAUAGAAAAGUAAUUUUGGGAUAAUCUAAAAUUAUUAAUUUAAAUUUAUAUUUAACAUAAAUUUAAAGAAUAAAAUUUUCUUCUUUAUUUUCAUAAAUAAAUUAUUUAUAUAAAAUAAAUUAAUUUUUAUUAUUUAUUAAAUAUAAUUUUAAAAUUUAAAUAAAAAUGAAAUUAUUAGUAAAAGUUAAAAACAUUUUUAUAAAUUUAAAUAUAAAAUUUCACUUAAAUUUUCUUAAUUUGGGAAGAACUAGGCAAAUAAAUUUUCUGACUGUUUAAUAAAAACAACGCAUUUAGAUCGUUAAUAAAUGCAAAUCCUGCUCAAUGAGAUUUAAAUUGCUGUAGUAUUUUGACUAUACAAAGGUAUUGAAAUAAGAUUUUAAUUGAAUGCUAAGAGAAUGGAUUUCAGAAAAAAACUUUUUUCAAGUUAAAAAUUGAAAUUUUUUUAAUUUGUGCAGAAACAAUUAUUAAUAUUAAGGACAAGAAGACCCUAUGAAUUUAUAAAUUUUAUUUAAUAUGUAACUACUAUUAAAAAAAUUUUAGCUGGGGCGGCGGAAAAAUAUUUAAAACUUUUUUAAAAUAAAAUGACCCAUUAUUAAUGAUUAUAUGUUAAAUACUCUAGGGAUAACAGCGUUAUAUUUUUUGAUAGAUCAUAUUGACAAAAAAGUUUGCGACCUCGAUGUUGGAUUAGGAUACUUUUUUAAUGCAGAUAUUAAAAAAAGAAGUUUGUUCAACUUUUAAUUUCCUACAUGAUCUGAGUUCAAACCGGAGUCGACCAGGUUGGAUUCUAUCUUAAUAAAAAAAUAUUUUAAUUAGUACGAAAGGAAUUUUAAAAUAUAAUUAUUAGGAUAAUCAACUUUAUUUGCAUCAAUUUUUGUAAUUA
rnacentral:rRNA from 1 species